rnacentral:rRNA from 1 species
UACGUAGGGUGCGAGCGUUGUCCGGAAUUAUUGGGCGUAAAGAGCUCGUAGGCGGUCUGUCGCGUCGGUCGUGAAAACUUGGGGCUUAACCCUGAGCUUGCGGUCGAUACGGGCAUGACUGGAGUUCGGCAGGGGAGACUGGAAUUCCUGGUGUAGCGGUGAAAUGCGCAGAUAUCAGGAGGAACACCGGUGGCGAAAGCGGGUCUCUGGGCCGAUACUGACGCUGAGGAGCGAAAGCGUGGGGAGCGAACAGG